rnacentral:rRNA from 1 species
AUGGUGAGCUGGCCCGACAUUUGCAAACCUAAAGACCAGGGUGGCCUUGGGAUCUUGUCAUCUCGUCGCAUGAACAUUGCUCUCCUGACCCGCUGGCUGUGGCGUAUCGCCAAUGGGGAGGGAGGCCUCUGUCUUACCAUCAUCCGUAAUAAAUACCUUCGGGGCCAACCUCUGGCCUUUUGCCAGCGUACGGGUGGAUCC